CUCCGAAUUCUCUUCAUCAAUUCAUUUCACGUUACAAAUUUCCAGCGGUUACUACUCUCCACAUUCAUCUUCCCCAAAUUUUAACCCUAAAUCAAAUACAGUAUUUCACACAACCUUUCAUCAACCCUCAUCACAACCAUCACCACAAAUUCAUCAUUGGACCGCAACAGAUUCACAACGUGCGGAGCACCGUCAUCGGUAACAAAUCUUCAGCAGCAACGAUUGUAAUCUGAUAUACAACGACAUCAUCAGAAAAUCACGGUUGCGACAUCAGAUUCACGCGGAUCCGCCAACAAGCUUCCAUUCACACCCUGAUCGAAGCAAUUAUUGGGUUUUGUUUGAAUUUUCAGAUAACGUUUGUUUUUUGAAAUUUUCAGAUAAGUAAGGUGGUUACACCAACCACACUUGGCUUGAUGAUAUGCUGUCGAGAGGUAUAAUGCUUUGAUUCGGUGACGACAUGUUUCGGCAUAGAAGCAUUAUCAAGGUCUCGCCUUAUAGCGGAAAAGUGGAUGAUUCCAUCGAUAAUUAUUCUUGAUACUGGCCACACAUCGAAGAAGAAUAAGAUGAAAGCAGAUUGUAAGGUGAAAUGGAUAGCUAUAGCGGUGAAAAUCCGUUUUGACGGUAGCGACCUCAACGAAACAGAAGGUUGCAGUUCUGGAACAGUUUCAACUGAACGAUGCACUUGAUCUACACACUUUGCUGAUUUUGAUGAAAGAGAUAGAGAAUAAGAUAGAUGAUAAUGAUCAUCAUCAAGAACAAUAACUGAAGUAUCUUGGGUUUGUGAGAAUUGCUGCUAUUCAUGCUUUUGUUUGCAUGUCCAGUCUUUAUGAUUAUGCAAAACAGAAUUCGGGAUCUUUGAGAUCUGCUGUUGGAACCGUCGAAGGUAUUGUUACUAUAGUUAUUGGUCGUGUUUAUCACAAAUUCAAGCCUCUCCCUCAAGAUGUCCUCCUUUUUCUCGACAAUAAGGUCUCUCUCUCAUUCAUUGUUUCCUUUACUUU